GACAGCUUGGCCGAGUGGUCUAAGGCGAUAGAUUUAAGUUUACUGGCUCUUACGAGUCCGUUCAAAUCUCUAUUGACGCAAGUCGCGCGAGUUCGAACCUCGCAGCUGUCA